rnacentral:rRNA from 1 species
UACGGAGGGUGCAAACGUUGCUCGGAAUUAUUGGGCGUAAAGCGCGUGUAGGCGGUUUGUUAAGUCGCAUGUGAAAGCCCUGGGCUUAACCCAGGAAUUGCGUGCGAUACUGGCAGGCUAGAGUACGGGAGAGGGUAGCGGAAUUCCCGGUGUAGAGGUGAAAUUCGUAGAUAUCGGGAGGAACACCAGUGGCGAAGGCGGCUACCUGGACCGAUACUGACGCUGAGACGCGAAAGCGUGGGGAGCAAACAGG